rnacentral:rRNA from 1 species
AGAUUGAACGCUGGCGGCAUGCCUUACACAUGCAAGUCGAACGGCAGCACGGGAGCAAUCCUGGUGGCGAGUGGCGAACGGGUGAGUAAUACAUCGGAACGUGCCCAGUAGUGGGGGAUAGCCCGGCGAAAGCCGGAUUAAUACCGCAUACGACCUAUGGUGAAAGGCGGGGAUCGCAAGACCUUGCGCUAGUUGGAGCGGCCGAUGUCAGGUUAGCUUAGUUGGUAGGGUAAAAGCCUACCAAGGCGACGAUCUGUAGCUAGGUCUAGAGAGGACGACCAGCCACACUGGGACUGAGACACGGCCCAGACCUCCGACGGGAGCAGCGAGGU